UACGUAGGGUCCGAGCGUUGUCCGGAAUUAUUGGGCGUAAAGGGCUCGUAGGCGGUUUGUCGCGUCGGGAGUGAAAACUCAGGGCUCAACCCUGAGCGUGCUUCCGAUACGGGCAGACUAGAGUACUGCAGGGGAGGCUGGAAUUCCUGGUGUAGCGGUGGAAUGCGCAGAUAUCAGGAGGAACACCGGUGGCGAAGGCGGUUCUCUGGGCAUGAUCUGACGCUGAGGAGCGAAAGUGUGGGGAGCAAACGGG
rnacentral:rRNA from 1 species